rnacentral:piRNA from 1 species
UCGAAGAAGAGCUAUGAGGCCUUAGGUGG